rnacentral:rRNA from 1 species
CCUACGGGGUGCUGCAGUGGGGAAUAUUGGACAAUGGGCGAAAGCCUGAUCCAGCCAUGCCGCGUGUGUGAAGAAGGCCUUCGGGUUGUAAAGCACUUUCAGUGGGGAAGAAAGCCUUGGGGCUAAUACCCUCGAGGAAGGACAUCACCCACAGAAGAAGCACCGGCUAACUCCGUGCCAGCAGCCGCGGUAAUACGGAGGGUGCGAGCGUUAAUCGGAAUUACUGGGCGUAAAGCGCGCGUAGGCGGUCUGAUAAGCCGGUUGUGAAAGCCCCGGGCUCAACCUGGGAACGGCAUCCGGAACUGUCAGGCUAGAGUGCAGGAGAGGAAGGUAGAAUUCCCGGUGUAGCAGUGAAAUGCGUAGAGAUCGGGAGGAAUACCAGUGGCGAAGGCGGCCUUCUGGACUGACACUGACGCUGAGGUGCGAAAGCGUGGGUAGCAAACAGGAUUAGAUACCCUAGUAGUC